rnacentral:rRNA from 1 species
UACAGAGGUCUCAAGCGUUGUUCGGAUUCAUUGGGCGUAAAGGGUGCGUAGGCGGCGCGGUAAGUCGGGUGUGAAAUCCUGGAGCUCAACUCCAGAACUGCCUUCGAUACUGGAGAGCUCGAGUCCGGGAGAGGUGAGUGGAACUGCGAGUGUAGAGGUGAAAUUCGUAGAUAUUCGCAAGAACACCAGUGGCGAAGGCGGCUCACUGGCCCGGUACUGACGCUGAGGUGCGAAAGCGUGGGGAGCAAACAGG